GUCUCGCUCGCGAGAGGGUGGCCGCAGAUAUUUCCGUAGACUCGCCGUGCGGGAGACGCGAACCUUUCCUCCCGCUGCCGCUGCGACAUCGCCCGUUCUGAAACUGUAAUUUAAUAAAAUAACACGAAAACAUACAGUAGCAGUAGUACGGCGACCAGCACGUGAAGAAGACCAGGACUAUGGUGACCGUCAUUUUGAGGGUGCGAGCGCGAGCCCUUCCCAGAAGACCGAUGCCGCUUCGACGCAUCUUAUCUGAAACAAAAGAGUGGAGGAGCCUGAUGACUUCUUAAAUUCGAAAAACGUCUUUAUGCCUUUCACCGAAAGGUUUUCUUUUCGAAAUUCACUGUACAGUCACGGGGAUGGAGGAUGAUUAGAUUACUCAUACUAUAUAUGAAGGUGUUUUCUUCAGCUUUUGCAUGUCACAUAUUAUUACCUUAAGGUUUAAUCUAAUAAACGUUGUAAUAAUAAAUAAAUGUUCAUAAAAAAAACCACUGGGUUAAACCGUAAAAUUAAUUUUAAUGAUCACUAAGGUAUGACAAUACAAUUUUGUCACGUUCAAAUUGUAGUCAGCGAUUACUUUUGUUGAUUGUUAUUAGUUGUAUUGUUAAGUUGUUAUUAAAGUUCACGCACGCCAUAGUCAAUGUAAAAUAAAUAAAAUGAACUGCUUUUUUAAGAAA